UAACCCAUCAAACGGUUGUGAAAUGUUGCAUUUAUCAAAUCAUAUCACAGCCAUUUUGAUGAGUUUCG
rnacentral:pre_miRNA from 15 species